rnacentral:rRNA from 1 species
GGCGGACGGGUGAGUAACGCGUAGGAAUCUACCUAGUAGAAGGGGAUAGCCCGGGGAAACUCGGAUUAAUACCGUAUACCCCCUAAGGGAGAAAGAGGGCCUCUCUUGAUGCUCUCGCUAUUAGAUGAGCCUGCGUAAGAUUAGCUUGUUGGUAAGGUAAUGGCUUACCAAGGCUACGAUCUUUAGCUGGUCUGAGAGGACGAUCAGCCACAUUGGGACUGAGACACGGCCCAGACUCCUACGGGAGGCAGCAGUGGGGAAUAUUGGACAAUGGGCGCAAGCCUGAUCCAGCCAUACCGCGUGUGUGAAGAAGGCCUUCGGGUUGUAAAGCACUUUAAGCAGGGAGAAAGAGCAAUAAUUUAAUACCUUAUUGCCGUGAUGUUACCUGCAGAAUAAGCACCGGCUAAUUCCGUGCCAUCAGCCGCGGUAAAUACGGAAGGUGCAAGCGUUAAUCGGAAUUACUGGG